UUGAAAUUUGCGCUUCAUCUAGUAUCUUUUCAUGGAAAUAUUAUUUUGAGCAUUCUUGAUAAUUUUUAAUCUUUUCAUAUCGGGUUACUAUUCACAGGGUACUAUUCCCAAAGUACUAUUCACAGGGUACUAUUCACCUAGGUACUAUUCAUGAUAAAAAUUAAAAAAAAAUUCGGUCCAAAUCAUUUUUGAUACAAUAUUAUUCUUAAAUUUUACUUCACAAAACAUUAUCAUGUUGACAAUUUG
rnacentral:lncRNA from 1 species